GCCCAACGGCCACAAACUGCCCAACUGCCCAACGGCUGCCGUGCUGUGCCUGUGGCCCCUCUGCUUCUACAGCACGGGCUGUGCUUGCUUUCACAUCUCUUGGGUGUUGACAUAGCUCCUGUCUUCAAUAGAAAGGUCUCAGCAUGGACCGUAGGAAGAAUAAAACUGACGGAGGGAAGGAAGAGGAGUAUUUAGUGCAAAAUAGUUCUCCAACCGUUGAGUCACCUUCCACUGUAGCUGUAGCAGAGUACAGUAACCAUCAAUCCACUCUCACUGUCUCUGGGAGUCUGCCACCAAACCAAGAAGGGAUACAAAGCAUCACAAGUGAAACACAUAGCAUGGCAGAGGCAAAGAAUACUGCAGGACAGAUGCAAGAUCUCCAGUCUCACCGAAAUAUUUCUUCAAAAGGUUUUGAUGCCAGUGUCAGCUCCAGUAGUGGUAAUCAAUCAGAGCCAGAGCAUGCUGAAAAUGUGUUUAGAGGCCAAAAAAACCUUCAAAAAGCUCAGGGAAGAGACAGGUCCUCCAAAAAGCAGAAAACAAGCCUCAAAACAUCAGUGAACAUCAAAAAGAAGAAUAAAAGUAGCAAUUUAUUUAUGGCUGUGAUUCUAAAGCAAUAAGUGCACUGCUGUCGUGAUCCAGUUGGAGAGUAGAGUGGACUAUGGCUAUACGAACCUUGAGCAGCUGGAUCGUAUUCAAGAAUCUCCUUCCAGGAAGUGUGUCCCUACCCUACCUCCUUAUGUUCACGCACACACACAAUCAGUUAAAUACCUGCCAGUUUUUGUGAUGGAUUGUGGAGCCACAGUCUCCUACUUUUAUCAACCUUCUAGGUCUGUAGGACUUUAGUUCCCAUAAAUCCACAGAACAGAUCUGAGUCUACGUGCACAACAACAAACUGGCCGGUGUUUCCAGUGCAAGGUUUCCCUUUCCCAGCAUGCCAGAAUUAGAGGGGCCCCAUUACAGACCUGUUUUGCGGUCCUGCACCUGGGCACCCGUGGUGCAGAGAGCUGUGUGCCAAGCUGCUACACCAGGAUGGAUUAUGUCAUGUUAGAGUGAGACAGCUCCUGCUGACUUGCAAAAUUUGAGUAGCACCGAGCGCAUAACAGUUCUCCAAGCAAAAAUGCAGGAAAUCCGGAAACGCUACCGGUUGCUGAAAGCUGAGUUGGCUGCCAUUGACCGGAAAAAGCGUUUAAAGAAAAAAAAAGAGCUGGAAAGGGCUGCUGCCACAUCAAGUUCUUCACCAAAUGGAAUGCCAGGGGAAUGCAGAAAGCAAAAGUGUGGCCCAGCAUUAAUGCACCAGUCAAAACAAAGCUGAAUUUUGAUUCCUGUUCAUUAUGGUAGCUCAAAAAUGUCAAAGCAAGCUCCUGAAAAUAUUUGCUGGCUCCUUUUAUCAACUGCCUCAAGGUCAGAUUCAUAGGAAUUGAAACUGGAAUAAAUAUUCUAGUGUUCUCUGCUUA